rnacentral:rRNA from 1 species
ACUGCUCAGUAACACGUGGAUAACCUGCCCUUGGGACCGGCAUAACCCCGGGAAACUGGGGAUAAUUCCGGAUAACGCAUAUUUGCUGGAAUGCUUUAUGCGUCAAAAGGAUUCGUCUGCCCAAGGAUGGGUCUGCGGCCUAUCAGGUAGUAGUGGGUGUAAUGUACCUACUAGCCAGCGACGGGUACGGGUUGUGAGAGCAAGAGCCCGGAGAUGGAUUCUGAGACAUGAAUCCAGGCCCUACGGGGCGCAGCAGGCGCGAAAACUUUACAAUGCGGGAAACCGUGAUAAGGGGACACCGAGUGCCAGCAUCAUAUGCUGGCUGUCCGGAUGUGUAAAAUACAUCCGUUAGCAAGGGCCGGGCAAGACCGGUGCCAGCCGCCGCGGUAACACCGGCGGCCCGAGUGGUGAUCGUGAUUAUUGGGUCUAAAGGGUCCGUAGCCGGUUUGGUCAGUCCUCCGGGAAAUCUGAUAGCUCAACUAUUAGGCUUUCGGGGGAUACUGCCAGACUUGGAACCGGGAGAGGUAAGAGGUACUACAGGGGUAGGAGUGAAAUCUUGUAAUCCCUGUGGGACCACCUGUGGCGAAGGCGUCUUACCAGAACGGGUUCGACGGUGAGGGACGAAAGCUGGGGGCACGAACCGGAUUAGAUACCCGGGUAGUCCCAGCCGUAAACGAUGCUCGCUAGGUGUCAGGCAUGGCGCGACCGUGUCUGGUGCCGCAGGGAAGCCGUGAAGCGAGCCACCUGGGAAGUACGGCCGCAAGGCUGAAACUUAAAGGAAUUGGCGGGGGAG